rnacentral:lncRNA from 1 species
UCGUUGGGUCGUUGUACCAAAGUUGUUGCUUUGUAUAGGUGGUAUCCUGAACGUUGAGGAUGGUCCGCAUGUCUGUUCUUCUAGUCCGGCUUCUUGUUUCGAAUUCAUUUUGUAAUUUUAUGUUUGUGGGUUAUGGGACAAUGUAGUGCGGUUGUUUCAGGUCGUUUGUAGGCCUUUAAUCAAUUUGGUUGUUCGUAGUUUUGGGUGUGUGCGGCCGGAGUUACGGCCUUUAUGGCGAUGUUUUGGUGAUUUUGUUGAGUGAUGAUGAUAAGUCACUGUUAAUAGUCGGUUUUGAUAUGAGCUCGUUAUUUUAUUAAUGACCAGAAACGUUAAGAUUUUUGUUUUGAUUAUAUAGUAUGUAUGAAUCAUUAUUUUUGUGAUUCCUAUUUUUUAUAUCUUAUUAUCUUUUUCGAUUAAAUUUGUUUGAUGCUAGAGUAUUCAACUUCAGUCUUGCUUAGCUAAUUCUUUAAUGGUUUUAAUGGAAAUAUGUACUAUUUUUAUUUUGGCUGCGUAUAACUUUUUAUUUUGUUUAGAUUAUUUAGUUUCAUUUAUAUGUUUAUGUUUUUUUAUUGUGUAUCAUUUAAAUUGUGCAAAUAUAUACUUUCGUGUCAGGAUUUUUUAUAGGAUUCUUGUCAUAACUUUUUUUUUGUUUUACAAAUUUAUUUGAAUACAAUGCAUUUAUAUAAAGUUCUUUCUCUUUAAUCGAAAGGA